rnacentral:rRNA from 1 species
UAGGGAAUCUUCGGCAAUGGGGGGAACCCUGACCGAGCAACGCCGCGUGAGUGAAGAAGGUUUUCGGAUCGUAAAGCUCUGUUGUUAAGGAAGAACGAGUGUGAGAAUGGAAAGUUCAUGCUGUGACGGUACUUAACCAGAAAGGGACGGCUAACUACGUGCCAGCAGCCGCGGUAAUACGUAGGUGGCAAGCGUUGUCCGGAUUUAUUGGGCGUAAAGCGAGCGCAGGCGGUCAAUUAAGUCUGAUGUGAAAGCCCCCGGCUCAACCGGGGAGGGUCAUUGGAAACUGGUGGACUUGAGUGCAGAAGAGGAGAGUGGAAUUCCAUGUGUAGCGGUGAAAUGCGUAGAUAUAUGGAGGAACACCGGUGGCGAAAGCGGCUCUCUGGUCUGUAACUGACGCUGAGGCUCGAAAGCGUGGGGAGCGAACAGG